UAAAUUUAUUGGCGCUGGGAUUGAAGCAC
rnacentral:piRNA from 1 species